rnacentral:rRNA from 1 species
CAUGAAGCUGGAAUUGCUGUAAUGGCAGGUCAGCAUACUGCCGUGAAUACGUUCCCGGGCCUUGUACACACCGCCCGUCACACCAUGAGAGUUGGAAAUACCCGAAGCCUGUGAGCUAACAGUAAUGAGGCAGCAGUCGAAGGUAGAGCCAAUGAUUGGGGUGAAGUCGUAACAAGGUAAC